rnacentral:lncRNA from 1 species
GGGUGGUAAAAAGGUUGACAGAAACCACCUCAAGCAAAAAGGGAGUUCUGUCAAACAACUCCGAAGAAUUACGAUAAUAGUAUGGAUGGUAUUUCGAUCAGUUUGCGAAUUUCGUCCACAAUAAUAAUAAAUCACUAAGAAUGUUUACAUCAGGUAUCCGCCAGAUAGUUGUGAAUCGAACACCUGCCUCGGCGAAGGUUCAAGAAAUAAACAUCUUUGUUCUUAGCCCGGGAAUAAGGGUCAAAAGGGCAUGGAUAUUUAAGAGCUAUUGCGCUCUUGUCCAGGGUCCUUGGUUUGCCUGCUUGUCAGUUCUCCGACUUUUGUCCUGUGAUUCGAGUUCCAUCAAGUCACAGCGAUCGUUUCGUCCGCUUUCCUG